rnacentral:lncRNA from 7 species
AAGAAGGAGCGAGGUCAUGGCCGGCGGCGGCGGCGGAUCGCGGACGGGCGGCGGCGUGGAACCCCUCGGGGAGCGCUGAGCCCCCCCGCCCGGCCCGGGACCACCGCCCAUGGAUCGACUGCUGCUGCUCUGCGCUGCUCUCGCCCUAUUUCUGCCCUAUAGCGCCUCCGACAGCGCAGUGCAAUGCGGCCGCCCCAAGGACGUGGCCAAUGCGAUCAUCAACGCGGACGACACGGCGCUGGUCAACACCAUCCUGCGUUACACCUGCAAGCUGGGCUACAAGCGCAAAGCUGGCACCUCCACCCUCAUCCAGUGCAUCCUCAUCAGUGACAAGCCUGUCUGGACACACACUGAGCUGCAGUGCAUCCGGGACCCGGCUCUACCUCCGCAAACCCCAAGCCCUGAGCUCCCGACCGUGACGACAAGCCAAAGAGGAACCAACACCCCUUCAGCAACAGUGCCUGUGCCAUCACCAGAGACAUCUGUGCCACCAGCAAUGCCCAAACCACCAGAGAUGCCUACACCGGCAGAGGGGACAGCCCUGGGGACAACUCCACUGCCCACCAUCCCCAUGGACCACGUUGCAGUUUCCACCCAGACCUUGGCCUCUUCCAUCGGGAUCUCAAUCCUGUUUGUUGUCAGUGUUGCGGGAUUCUGCUACUGGAGGAUGAAAACGCGCCAGAACUAUGUGGUGGCAGUGACAGCCAUCCCAAUGGUGGCUCCCACCACCGCAGCAGAGAACGAUGAGAUGUUGCCACCUGGUGACAUCCCCACGGGCUGAGCACCCAGCACAGAGCACGUUGGUGUACCUACCAGCCCCGCCAGCCAGGAGGAUGCUCGAAGCUUGGUGCUUCCCCAAGUGGCAGUGGCAUGGGGCAUGUCCCCACGUCCCCAGCUGCCCAUUGCAUGGAGCAUCUUCGCUCCAGGGACAUGUAGCUGCUCUUCUCAGCCUGAACAAGUGGAUGAGAUCACUCUGGUGCCAAGAGCCAUUCACUCAUGAACCAACAGCCACAGCAAAGGGUUCCAGCUCCAUCACCAGUUCAGAGGUCAUCGCCUCGUCCACACUCAGGGAUCUUUGGGUGGCAAUUUCGGCACCAAUGCCAGCUGCUCGCAGGGGACUGCACACGGGAGCAUUUUGCUACUAACACUACCAAAGCCUGAAGACAAGGACAUGGCAACAAUAUCUGUUGUUAUCCACUCAUUUCUCCCCCAUCCCCUUGCUACAGAACAGAUGGUUUUGCACUGAUGUUUUAUAUAUAAAGGGUAUAUAUUAUAAU